GGGACUGUAGUUAAUUAUAACAUUUGGGUUGCAUUCAAAAAGUAUUGAAUUUUCAAUCUAUCUCA
rnacentral:tRNA from 1 species